UAGGGAAUAUUGCAAAAUGGGCGAAAGCCCGAUGCAGCAACGCCGCGUGGGCGAUGAAGGCCUUCGGGUCGUAAAGCCCUUUUUGAGGGGAUGAGGAAGGACAGUACCCUCAGAAUAAGCCUCGGCUAACUACGUGCCAGCAGCCGCGGUAAAACGUAGGAGGCGAGCGUUAUCCGGAUUUACUGGGCGUAAAGCGCGUGCAGGCGGAUUGGAGAGUUGGAUGUGAAAGCUCCCGGCUUAACUGGGAGAGGUCGUUCAAUACUUCCACUCGUGAGUGCAGUAGAGGGAAGUGGAAUUCCGGGUGUAGUGGUGAAAUGCGUAGAUAUCCGGAGGAACACCAGUGGCGAAAGCGGCUUCCUGGACUGUAACUGACGCUCAGACGCGAAAGCUAGGGUAGCAAACG
rnacentral:rRNA from 1 species